AGAUUGGCCAGGUCAGUGGUUCUGACUGGCUUAGCUUGGGUAAGGAGAGCAGGGUGGAGGCAACUCCAACCCAAAGCUUCUGGGCCAGGAGGGGAGGCAGAAUGGCCUCCGGGCAAAACUGUGGUGGGGGAACAUGGACACAGUGGAACAAAACCAACCCAUAGCCACUUGUGGGACUGCAUCCACUUCUGCCUUUCAGAAGUCUGUUACAUGAACAUGGACCUUUGGCCUGCUGCUGCUGCUGCUGCUGCUGCUAAGUCGCUUCAGUCGUGUUUUACUCUAUGCGACCCCAUAGACGGCAGCCCACCAGGCUCCCCCGUCCCUGGGAUUCUCCAGGCAAGAACACUGGAGUGGGUUGCCAUUUCCUUCUCCAAUGCAUGAAAGUGAAAAGUGAAAGUGACGUCGCUCAGUUGUGUCUGACUCUUCGCGACCCCAUGGACUGCAGCCUACCAGGCUCCUCCAUCCAUGGGAUUUUCCAGUUUGUCAAAGGUUCCAUGGAAAGACAGCCUGGGGCAGGAUGAACUCUGAAGGUUUAUUUGCAGUGCAUGAUCCCCAGGAAGCAAGAGUAAGGAAAACUGUAAGUAUAGCUGGGAAGAUGGGGAGCGAGGCAACGGGACACAUCACUGGGCUGGCAACUGCUUCUCAAAGAAUCCUGAAAAGAUGCAGCGGGCCACUGGUAGUGCAUUUUCUCAGCUACUCGGAUGUCUGCACGACACACUCUGUGUAGAGAGAGAAGCCUGUGGGAAAGAAGGAGGACCUUCCUACCUGGCUGCCCCCUGCCGGUUUCCACUGGUUGACUUUGAUGCAAUACAGAAUCGAUUCCGUGCCAAGCAGUUUGCACCAUCAAGCCCUUAGGCAGACCCUGGGAAGCCAGAGGCAGGCAUGCAGCUGGCUGAUCUGCCACCAUGGAUACUGAAAAUCUUCACGUCUCCAACAAAAUGCUAUAGUGUUCCUG
ensembl:lncRNA